rnacentral:tRNA from 1 species
GUUAUGGAUCAGUGGUAGAGUGCUUGCCUAGCAUGUGUGAGGCACUGGGUUCAAUUCUCAGCAUCACA